rnacentral:rRNA from 1 species
GAUUGAACGCUGGCGGCAGGCCUAACACAUGCAAGUCGAACGGUAGCACAGAGGAGCUUGCUCCUUGGGUGACGAGUGGCGGACGGGUGAGUAAUGUCUGGGAAACUGCCUGAUGGAGGGGGAUAACUACUGGAAACGGUAGCUAAUACCGCAUAACGUCUUCGGACCAAAGUGGGGGACCUUCGGGCCUCACACCAUCGGAUGUGCCCAGAUGGGAUUAGCUAGUAGGUGGGGUAAUGGCUCACCUAGGCGACGAUCCCUAGCUGGUCUGAGAGGAUGACCAGCCACACUGGAACUGAGACACGGUCCAGACUCCUACGGGAGGCAGCAGUGGGGAAUAUUGCACAAUGGGCGCAAGCCUGAUGCAGCCAUGCCGCGUGUAUGAAGAAGGCCUUCGGGUUGUAAAGUACUUUCAGCGAGGAGGAAGGCGUUGUAGUUAAUAGCUACAACGAUUGACGUUACUCGCAGAAGAAGCACCGGCUAACUCCGUGCCAGCAGCCGCGGUAAUACGGAGGGUGCAAGCGUUAAUCGGAAUUACUGGGCGUAAAGCGCACGCAGGCGGUCUGUCAAGUCGGAUGUGAAAUCCCCGGGCUCAACCCGGGAACUGCAUUCGAAACUGGCAGGCUAGAGUCUUGUAGAGGGGGGUAGAAUUCCAGGUGUAGCGGUGAAAUGCGUAGAGAUCUGGAGGAAUACCGGUGGCGAAGGCGGCCCCCUGGACAAAGACUGACGCUCAGGUGCGAAAGCGUGGGGAGCAAACAGGAUUAGAUACCCCUGGUAGUCCACGCCGUAAACGAUGUCGACUUGGAGGCUGUUCCCUUGAGGAGUGGCUUCCGGAGCUAACGCGUUAAGUCGACCGCCUGGGGAGUACGGCCGCAAGGUUAAAACUCAAAUGAAUUGACGGGGGCCCGCACAAGCGGUGGAGCAUGUGGUUUAAUUCGAUGCAACGCGAAGAACCUUACCUACUCUUGACAUCCAGAGAACUUAGCAGAGAUGCUUUGGUGCCUUCGGGAACUCUGAGACAGGUGCUGCAUGGCUGUCGUCAGCUCGUGUUGUGAAAUGUUGGGUUAAGUCCCGCAACGAGCGCAACCCCUAUCCUUUGUUGCCAGCGAUUCGGUCGGGAACUCAAAGGAGACUGCCGGUGAUAAACCGGAGGAAGGUGGGGAUGACGUCAAGUCAUCAUGACCCUUACGAGUAGGGCUACACACGUGCUACAAUGGCGCAUACAAAGAGAAGCGACCUCGCGAGAGCAAGCGGACCUCAUAAAGUGCGUCGUAGUCCGGAUUGGAGUCUGCAACUCGACUCCAUGAAGCCGGAAUCGCUAGUAAUCGUAGAUCAGAAUGCUACGGUGAAUACGUUCCCGGGCCUUGUACUCACCGC